GUCAUCCGUCAGACAGGCAGAAGUUGAAGCAUUGUUAACUAGUCCAGAAAACAGUUUGCGCUAUUUCACAAUACAAUGGCAAUGCAUUUUAUACCACACCAGCACGUGAUUGGCAUUGCGGUAAUCGUUGGCAUGAGCCCCUUUGCAUAGAAUCCCGUUUCAUUAGACUCCAUUUCUUCUGCUGAUGUUGUUUCCCUCGUCAGUUUGGAACAUGGCGGUGAGUGCUGUAAUAAGGACAGACCGUGUUUAUAUGAAUGUGCUUUCUGUGAGCCCGUGUGGAAUCUAGAUAUUAUCUCUUCACAAUAACAGCACUUAUAACUAACUGGAGCAGCUGGAGAAGCUAUAACAAAGUAGAACUUUGACAAACUGGCAAAGUACCAACAUUCCAAUUAUGUUCCUCAAAGGGACACUCUGGUCACCAUAACAACUUCAUCUAAAUUAAAUUGUUAUGGUGCCAGGAGGCCCCUGGGCUCUCUUCCCUUAAGGAGUUAAACUGUUCUCAAAUAUCCUCCAGUGCCAAUCUCUAUGUCCCACUGCCGAUCCGCUGGACUGCCAGACAGCUUUUGGUAUGUACCAUUUUUAUGAAUGAGGUGCUGACCGCUCUAGCCAAUCAGCGGUGCCCCUGCCCACUGGCACUCCGUUUCAGCAGCUGGAUGCCACAUGGGGGAUCUGGAGUCAACCUUUGAGGGUAAACCAUUCGAGAAUGCCUUUAAGGUAAGAGCACCCAGGGGCUCCUGGCACCAUAACAACUCAAUUUAGAUGACAUUGUUA